rfam:Strongylocentrotus purpuratus Contig110700_fixed, whole genome shotgun sequence.
CCAACAGUCCUUCUCAGGACUACCAACAUUCCUUUUCAGGACUAC